AGCUCCAAUAGCGUAUAUUAAAGUUGUUGCAGUUAAAAAGCUCGUAGUUGAACCUUGGGCCUGGCUGGCCGGUCCGCCUCACCGCGUGCACUGGUCCGGCCGGGCCUUUCCUUCUGGGGAGCCUCAUGCCCUUCACUGGGUGUGUUGGGGAACCAGGACUUUUACUUUGAAAAAAUUAGAGUGUUCAAAGCAGGCCUAUGCUCGAAUACAUUAGCAUGGAAUAAUAGAAUAGGACGUGUGGUUCUAUUUUGUUGGUUUCUAGGACCGCCGUAAUGAUUAAUAGGGAUAGUCGGGGGCAUCAGUAUUCAAUUGUCAGAGGCGAAAUUCUUGGAUUAAUUGAAGACUAACUACUGCGAAAGCAUUUGCCAAGGAUGUUUUCAUUAAUCAGUGAACGAAAGUUAGGGGAUCGAAGACGAUCAGAUACCGUCGUAGUCUUAACCAUAAACUAUGCCGACUAGGGAUCGGGCGAUGUUAUCUUUUUGACUCGCUCGGCACCUUACGAGAAAUCAAAGUUUUUGGGUUCUGGGGGGAGUAUGGUCGCAAGGCUGAAACUUAAAGAAAUUGACGGAAGGGCACCACCAGGAGUGGAGCCUGCG
rnacentral:rRNA from 1 species